rnacentral:lncRNA from 1 species
AGCAUAGAAGACUCAAAUCCAAAGGGGAAGUCCCCCACAUAAAGUUAGGCAAGAUACUUACCUCAAAGACGACAGACCGAUACUCUAAAAUGCAUUUCUCGGGUGAAAGACCUCCGCACAGCUUAAAUCCAACCCAAAAUAACUUCAAAGCACAAUUAAAACACAUAAGAAACUAUUCUGGAUUAUAAAGUUCCGAUCUUUAACAAAUUCUAAAAAUCAGUCCAAAAGUCGACCCUCGGGCCCGCACCUCGGAACCCAACAAAUUUUAUAAAAACUGAAUACUUGUCACGACCCAAACCCCGAUCCGGUCAUGAUGGUGCCUCUCGUGAAGACAAGGCCAGCCAACCAACCCAUCGUCGCCUUUUCAGAAUAGUUAAUAUUAAUAAACAGUUUUAACAUGAUUAAAUAACCACAAAUUAAGCAAAAGAUUUCUUUGUAAAGUGCGGAAUACAACCUAAACAUAGCCCGAUACCGGGGUGUCACAAGUCAUGAGCAUCUAUUAGAGUGUAAAUACAACUACAAGGUCUGAAUUAAACAAAACAUGAACGAUGAACAUAAGGGAGAAAAGCAGUGCUGCGAAUGUUGGCAGCCACCUCGCUAAACUCCGAUAACUAUGCCUCCGAUAAGCCAAAACCCGCUACCGGGUGUAUAAAUACCUGCAUCUGCACACAGGGUGCAGCGAGUAAAGUGAGUACUCCAACUCAGUGAGUAAUAAAGGUAAAUAACAACUGAGCAGUAAGAAUUCACGUAAAGCAACCAAGAUGAUGUAUAGAAGCAGUGUAAAACCCUUUGAGAAAAAUGAAGCUGUGAAAUCUUUAGAAAUAUCUUAGCUCAGUUUAAACCUCUUGUGAAAAUGACUUUUUCAACAAUUACGCAAUGAUUGCAAAAUAGUUAGUGCCAAUAAGCACAGAAAAUCUGCCCCUCGGGCACAAAUACCACAGUAUGACAGGUAAAAUGACAAGUAUCUAUGAAAGAUGAACACAUAAAAGUUUGCCCUUCGGGAAAUAUCUCAGAACAGUACCAGCCCCUCGAGCUACCUCACAAUCACUCUUAUCAGCCCUUCGGGCUCACUCUCAGAACAAUGGGUACCCACGCUCACUGUGGGUCCGCAGACUCCGGAGGGGCCCCUUACGGCCCAAACGCUAUAUCAAGCCACCUCAUGGCAUCAUCUCUCGGCACUCGGCCUCAUAUCACUCGACACUCGGCCUCACAUCACUUAAGCCACCUCGUGGCAUAUAAAUGUAUCUCAGGCCCUCGGCCUGAUAUCACUCAGCAUAUCCUCAUAUAUGGCCCUCGGCCUCACUUAGUCCAAAAAUCAUCACAAGCCCCUCGGGCAUUAGUAAAACAGUAGUUCUCAGCCCAAAACAUCAUUUAAGUUUCAAAUCUGAGUAAAUGUGGCUGAGUUUGUAAAACAGUAGAUAUCAACAGGACUGAGUUCAAGUAAUGAGUCAAAAUAGUGAGGAAAUCCCCGAAGGGUUCAAAUAAUUGGCACGAAGCUCAAAUAUGGCAAUCAACCCAAAUCAUGAUGGUAACAAAUAAGUUUCAGUCAAAUACGCGGUAAAAUCAUCAAUCGGGACGGACCAAGUCACAAUGCUCAGUAGUAAAAAAUCCCACGCUCAUCAUCCAGCGCGUGUCUCACCUCAAUAUAGCACUACGAUAUGCAAUCCGGGGUUUCAAACCCUCAAGAUAUCAUUUACAAUCAUUACUCACCUCGAAUCGACGAAAUCUCUAGCUCGCGAUGCCUUUGACCCUCUAAUCGGCCUCCACGCGUGUCAAAUCUAUCCAAAAUCAGAACGAAUACAUCACAAUAUGCUAAGGGAACAAAGCCCAAGCGAAAACAAUCAAUAACGGGCACAAAUCCCGAAAUUACCAAAACCCGAGCCCCGUGCCCACUUCUUGAAACUCAAAAUAUUUCAUAUCAUUAGAUUCCUUAUCUUCCCACGAGUUCAUACAUACCAAAAGUUCUCAAAUCCGACCCCAAAUGGUCUUUCAAAUCCCAAAUCAAAAGUCCAAUUUCUCAAGCCCUAGUUCUUCAAUUUUAGGCUUAGUUUCCAUGAAUUUCUAGGUGGAUUUCACAAUAAAAACGAGUUUAAGUUCAAAAAUCUUACCUCCAAUCGAUUCCCCUUGAAUCCCUCUUUAAUCUCCACCAAGAAGCUCUCAAAAUGAUCAACCAUGGAGGAAAAAUGACCCAAAAUCGCGGAUGAAGUGACUUAAAUCAUUCUGCUUAGCACUGACCGAUCCUUCAUCGCGAUCACGGCACAAGCCUGGCGAACUUGAAUCACAAACUACCAUGCCCUUAAAUUUAUUCUACGCGAACACGACAUAAUCAAUGCGAGCACGAUACACUGCAAAAUCACUCUAUGCGAUCACAGACAGUACUCCGCGUUCGCGAUGCACAAUAUCCAACCAAGACCUCAGGUACAUCUUACUCUAUGCGAACACGACCUGCCCUUACGCAUUCGCGAUCAACAAAUUUCACCCUACUAUGCGAUCGCGUCUCUAUCUGUGUGAACGUGAAGCACAAUUGAACUGCUCCCUCCAAAGCCUCUAUGCGAUCGCGAUGACAAAAUGCCUGAACUGAAACCUGCAAUUUCUGAAGUCCUCAAAGCAUGAAAUUGAUCCGUUUAACCUCCCGAAACACACCCGAGGCCCUUGGGACCUCAACCAAACCUACCAAAAUAACCCGUAACAUCAUUCAAACUUGUUCCAAUCAUCAAAACACCUUAAACAACAUCAAAUUACCCAAAGCUCAUUGAAUUCAAGCCUAAGUAUUUUAAAAACUUCCGAAAUACACUUUCGAUCAAAACCUCGACCAAACCACGUCCGAAUGAAAUGGAAUUUUGCACACACAUCCCAAAUGACAUAGCGAAGCUACUUCAACUCUCGAAAUUCCAUUCCGACCUCUAUAUAAAUAUCUCACCUAUCAACCGGAAAACGCCGAAAUCUCACUUUCGCCAAUUCAAGCCUAAACCUUCCACGGACUUCCAAAAUGCAUUCUGAUCACGCUCCCAAGCCCCAAAUCACCUAACGGAGCUAACCAAAUCAUAAAAAUUCCGAUCCGAGCUCAUAUACUAAUAAGUCAACCCUUGGUCAAACCUUUCAAAUUUAAAGCUUUCAACAGAGACUGUUCCUUCAAAUUCAUUUCGAUUUUCCUGAAAACCAAAACCAACAAUCUACAUCAGUCAUAACACAUUACACGGGGCAAGUCAUGCCCGAGAACUAGAGAUCAAAGUGCAAAAGCUCAAAAUGACCGGUCGGGUUGUUACAAUACCCAUUUCGAUACGAGUUCAAUAAUACAAAAUUUAUCAAAUUCCGAUACCAUUUGGUCCCUCAAAUCACAAUUUUUCAUUUUAGAGUUUUUCUUAAAAAACCAACUCCUUCCCCAACCCCAAACACAAUUUAAAUGAUGCAAAUAAAGACAAAUUCAUGGAAUAUAUUUAAUUAUAGUUGAAGAACACUUACCCAAUCGAAUUAUGUGAAACACCCACCAAAAAUCGCCAAGAACCGAGCUCUAGAAGUCAAAAUAUGAUGAAAACGGUGAAACUCUCGAUUUUGGGAUAUAUUAUAUCUGCCCAGAUUUCUGUGCAUCGCGAACGCGAAAGGACAAUCGCGUUCGCGAAGAAGGUAAAUUGAAGCUGCUAAGAAAAUCCAUCGCGAACACGAGACAAGGGACGUGAACGCGGAGAGUAAAGAACAGAGGCUUACACGAACGCGGAGGCUGUGACGCGAACGCGAAGAAGAAAUAGCCACUAGCCCUCAGUGCUUAAUUAUAUUAUUUGAAUGCGAGGGAUUGGAUGCGAACAUGAAGAAGGAGAAAGGAAAACCUUCGUGAACGUGAGAGGAUAAGCGCGAACGCAAAGAACAAUAAAUUCCUCCUCUAAGAUUACUGUUCGUGAACACGGAGGAGCAAACGUGAACGCGAAGAAGGAUACCAACUGACAGAUAUCAGCAGUUCAAAAUAGGAGAAAAAUGAUCCGUAGCCCAUCCGAAACACACCAAAGGCUCCCGGGACCCCGUCUAAUCACCCAAACAAAUCAUAUAACCUAACACGGACUUGCUCAAGGUUUUAAAUCACAUAAAACAACACCGAAACAGCGAAUCAAAUCAUAAAUCGAACUUAUGAACUUUUAAAUUUUAAAAUUUCUAAACUCGUGCCGAACCUAUCAAAUCAAUCCGGAAUGACGCUAAAUUUUGCAAACAAGUCCAAAAUGAUAUAACGGAGCUGCUCCAACUCUCGGAAUUACAUUCCGACCCCGAUAUCACAAAAGUCAACUAUGGGUCAAACUUCUCAAUUUUCCAAACUUCAGCUUUUCCAACUAUUGCCGAAAUUCCUCAAUUUAUCCUACGAACCUCCAAAUCUGAAUCCGGAUGAACGCCUAAGCGCAAAAUCACCAUACGAAGCUGUUAGAAUCAUCAAAAAUUUAUUCUGGGGUCGUUUACUCAAAAAUCCCACUCCAAUCAAAUUCUCAUUGUUCAAACUUCCAAAACUAGAUUCCUUCUUUCAAUUGACUCUAAACCAUCCGUUAACUGAAUUCCGCCAUGCAUGCAAGUCGAUACUCAUAUUCUGAACCUGUUCCAGACCUUACACCGCUGAACGAAGCUUAAUUUCUCAAAAUGACUGGUCGGGUCGUUACAUCUUGGUAUGAAAUUCCAUCAUUUCCACACUAGUAUUGAAGAAAUCUACACAUAAAAUACACAGAUCUUCAAGAAAUAUCUUUAAGAACUCAAAAGGAGGGUUUUGCAAGAUUUCUUCUAAAAGAUAAUCCUACACCCUUAGACUUACAUGUAUCUAUUUAUUAUCAGAAUAUGAGUAUGAAUUAAUUAUUGGAACCCUGGUAUGAUGAUUGGAAGCCAUAAAUUCUCAAGUUAAAUGAAUAUUCCUUGUAGAGAUUGAAAAGUAAUUAUUUGAUAGAAUUUUUUUGGUUGUGUGUGAAUGGUUGAUCACAUAUGUGAUGUUGGGUGUAUAGAUUGUUAAAGAAUAAUGGUGAGAUGAAUUAUUGGUAAAUGGUGGUAGUUGAAUGAACUAAAUCUAUGGUUAAGAGGUGUAGUCAAAUGUGCACAUAUAUUGUUCGAUGAAAUGCUUGAAUAAGGUGAACCCACGAAUAUCUUCCUAAUUACGGUUCACUUUUGUUAUGCUUCUAAAUAGAUUGAAGUUUCCGUCCGGCGGUCAAUUCACGUGAGAAUGCUAUUUUGGAAUAUUGGUCUAACUCCAUUAAGGUAAGUAUCUUGCCUAACCUUGUGUGGGAAAAUUUUCCUUAGACGUUGAGUCUUAUGUGGAAAUUGUGUUAUUUGAAACCAUGUAUAUGAGGUGACGAGUACAUACUUGGUUUAUAUGUGCAAAUUAUAAUGGUUAAAAUUUGUGGACACCCUUAUGUAUUAAAUUGACAAUUUUAUGGGACUUACUAUUUCUCUUAUAUGCCAUGCCUCAUUCCUUAUUUGCCGAUGUUUUUUUGAUAUGAUAAUUUGGAGUUAUUGCUACUCAACUUUUAUGUGAACUCUGUGUUUGUUUGAGUUUUCAUUUUUUUUAUGGAAAAUACUUUCAUUCUUGAUUUUUUAUCUAUAGAUAAUUUAAAUGGGAAAUUGUGUUAGUAAGGUGAAUAAAUAUAUUUAUUUCACGAAGUUGUGAUAUUUGAGCACUUGUAGUGCAAUUUGUGAAUGAUGUGAUAAUUGGGCACUUGAAGCGGAAAUCGUGAUAUGUUGUAAUAUUUGAACAUUUGUAGUAUAAAUUGUGAAUGAUGUGAUAAUUGAGCACUUGAGGUAGAAAUCGUGAUAUGUUUUAAUAUUUGAACAUUUGUAGUAUAAUUUGUGAAGAAUUUGGAUCUAGAACCUACAUGCUGAUGCUCACGAUUUCGAUAGCCAUACCAGUGAUUUGGAGGAGAUCUCUCGAAAAGUAUUUAGUGCACAUUUCGGUCAACUCUCCGUUAUCUUUCUUUGGCUGAGCAGCUAUAUUUUUCAUUAGAGAUUACAAUCCGGAGUAAAAUGAAGAUAAUGUAUUGGCAAGAACGUUAGAGCAUAAAGAAACUAUCAUAUCUCAUUUAAGUUGGGUCAGACAGAGUUCGAAAAGGUCAAAUCUUUGAUGAUUCCAUCAUCUUUGAUUGAGUUGCGAAAACUUCUGGAUAGGUAUCCUACAUCUGAACCGGAUUAUUUCUGGUUAAAGAAUCUCUUUCUAGUUGCUCUGGAACUAUUAGGAGUUUCUGUAUUUCUGAUUUAUCCACUGGGUCAGUCUGGUUGGUUCUUUGCACCUAGUUUUGGUGUAGCAGCUGUGAUAAUUGAGUACUUGAGGUGUAACUUGUGAAAUGUUGUGAUAUUUGAACAUUUGUAGCGCCCAUGUACUGGAUUCUUUCCUUGAUAUUGUUGUGUUUUUACUUUGGGACUACGGAUCGAUAUUUCGGGAGAUCCCCCUACACAUUUAUAUUUGGAACUACGAGAAUGCACCUGGGAGAUUCUCCUGUACUGGAUAUUUACUUUAGGACUACAGAUCGAUAUUCCAGGAGAUCCCCCUGCACAUUUAUAUUUGGGACUACGGGAAUGCACCCAGAAGAUUUUCCUGUACUGGAUAUUUACUUUGGGACUACGGAUGGAUAUUCCGGGAGACCCCUCUACACAUUUAUAUUUGGGAUUACGGGAAUGCACCCAAGAGAUUCCCCUGUACUGGAUAUUUACUUAGGGACUACGAAUCGAUAUUCCGGGAGAUCCCCAGCCCAUAUAUUGAGGAUACCAAGAGAUCCUCGGGAUACCAAGAGAUCCCUAGCACAUAUAUUAAGGAUACCAAGAGAUCCUCGGGAUACCAAGAGACCCCCAACACAUAUAUUGAGGAUACUGAGAGAUCCUCGGGAUACCAAGAGAUCCCAGCACAUAUAUUGAGGAUAAUGAGAGAUCCCCAAAUAUUUAUGUUUGGGACUACGGGACGGGAUCCCGGGAGAUCCCCUGUUGAUGUUUUUGAGUACAGAGUGUCUAAACAAAAGAAAAGUACAGAAGGGUGUGAUGAGGGCACAUGAUGCCAAGCGUUAGGGUUCAAGUAUUGAGACCCGUAUUGUAUGAUUAUGAGAUGAGGUUUCACAGGGUGACUUAUAUUCGAAGGUUAUCUAUUUGAAAAGAUUAUACUCGAAGGUACUUAUUUUCAAUUAACUAUUUUGAAAUGUCACCGGGCGACUUUUAUUCGAAAAAUAUUAUUUGAAAGAACUUUUAUUCGAAUUUUUUUUAUUUAUUUGGAAGAAUUAUUUUCGGAAGAUACUUGUUGAGAGAAUUAUAUCUGAAGAUAUCUGAAAUAGCCACCAGCCUGUCAGUGCCUAAUUAUACUAUGCAAACACGAGGGAUUGGAUGCGAACGCGAAGAAGGAGAAAGGAAAACCUUCGCGAAUGAGAGAGGAUAAGCGCGAAUGCGAAGAACAAUACAUUCCUCCUCCAAGAUUACUCUUCGCGAACGUGGAGGAGCAGAUGCGAACGCGAAGAAGGAUACCAGCUGACAGAUAUCAACAGUUCAAAAUAGGAGAAAAAUGAUUCGUAGCCCAUCCGAAACACACCCGAGGCUCCCGGGACCCCGUCUAAUCACACAAACAAGUCAUAUAACCUAACACGGACUCGCUUGAGGUUUCAAAUCACAUAAAACAACACCGAAACAAUGAAUCAAACCAUAAAUCGAACUUAUGAACUUUCAAAUCUUCAAAUUUCUAAACUCGUUUCGAAACCUAUCAAAUCAAUCUGGAAUGACGCCAAAUUUUGCAGACAAGUCCAAAAUGACAUAACGGAGCUGCUCCAACUCUUGGAAUCGUAUUCCGACCCCGAUAUCACAAAAGUCAACUAUGGGUCAAACUUCUCCAUUUUCCAAACUUCAACUUUUCCAACUUUUGCCGAAAUGCCUCAAUUUACCCUACAGACCUCCAAAUCCGAAUCCGGACGCGCGCCUAAGCCAAAAAUCACCUUACGAAGCUAUUGGAAUCAUCAAAAAUUCAUUCCGGUUCCGUUUACUCAAAAAUCCCACUCCGGUCAAAUUCUCACCGUUCAAACUUCCAUAACUAGAUUCCUUUUUCCAAUUGACGCUGAACCAUCCGUUAACUAAAUUCCACCAUGCACGCAAGUCGAUACUCAUAUUCUGAAGCUGUUCCAUACCUUGCGCUGCUGAACGGAGCUUAAUUUCUCAAAACAACUGGCCGGGUCGUUACAUCCUUCCCUUCUUAAAACCAACGUUCAUCCUCAAAAGUGCUAAGAUUCGCCUCGAAGUCCUCAAGUCACUGAAUGCACACUUCCAACAUACACCCGCGGGUGAUCCCACGUUACCCCAAUCCAUAUAAGCCUGGCGACACUAUCUCAACUGAAAUUUAGCCUUUCUAGCAAUACCAAUAAACCUUAGAACCAGAAUUCUCACCUCCCAUCCAUUUCCAAAAGACCCGAUUCUAAAUCCAUACCUUGUAUCAGUCUCAACCAGCUACACCAAUUCAUGCCAACGCCCAUAUAGUACAACCUUACAACCCAACACAUCACAUAUAGGCCCACAGUAAUAUUUUUGAUCACAAUAUUCGCCCGAAAUCAAAUUUAGCACCGACCAUAAGCCUCAUAUUCAAUAGGAACCCGUUUCAAACCUCCACAACAAUGGCAAUGAUACAAUAACCACGAAAACCACAUAACUAAACACCCAAAUCACCAAAUCUCAGCUAAUACCAACGGGCACACACCCCACAAGCUAAAACUCAAGAAACACAGAACGAAAAGGACUAAAUAUGGGAAGGGAAACACAUAAGGGAACUAUCAAACAAGCCCGACAGGCACAAAUUUUCUAUCAACACUAAUCUACAAACAAUCUAAUGAGAAAGAAUUAAAGCAUAUAAAUGAAUCACAAGGAUCUAAUACUGAUAUAACUCUUACCGCAGUACACAACCCGGUCUCAACAUAUCAAAUCACAUGAAAUCACAAGGGUCCCGCCCUCAACUCUGAAUCACAAGUAGGGUACACAUCAAACCACCUAGAAACUCUCACUAGAUCAAUUCCGUCAACAAAAUUACAACACGUACUGGCUCCCACACCGGUGGAGCAUAAAAAUCACAGCUCGUAACCAAGAAUACUCAGAAAUCACAUCAAACCUAGCGAAAUGGACAACAUGAAUUUACUACUAGUCUCAUAACUCUCAACAAUGACUAGGAACAAACGAUAGACACAACUAUCACUCAUAGAACCUCACAUCAGGGAAAUCACAUAAAUAGAGUGCAAAUCAUGAAAAGCACCCAUAAGUGGAGCAACAAAUAGGGGAACUCGCCGGAUAAGCAGAACUGUAAUGAACUACGUAUGGUGCUCCUUUAUAACAAAUCGAAAGCAUACCUGAAUGACAUCACCUGGAAUAACGGCCUUAAGACCACUAAAUGAAAACAUCAACGGGUUGGGCCUCCCCCUCUUAGGUGCCCUCUACUCACCUGAAUACCUCAUUGUGGCACCCUCUGCCCGAAAUCUGGGGAAAUCCCUCACCAAGGCUAGUAUCUCCACACUCAAGCAACCCCCAUACUGACGUGGCUGUGGAAACUGUGUGGUACGAACACUCUAAAACCCAUGAACACCUGAAUCAUCGUGCAAAACCUGAAGCUCAAACUGAACUAGAUGACCCACAAAACCUCUACUAUGUCGCACCCUGCCUCCAAAAUAAGGACCAGCUGAUCUCUCCGGUAUACGAGGUCUCCUCACUUACCUAAACCCUCUCUCCUGAUCUUAUCUGUCCUCUCGCUCUCAGUCUCACAUGGCCUAUAGCCGGCGAGCGAUCCCUACCACCUGCUGAAACAAAAUAUCUGACUCCAACCCUCGAGCCAUACUGAACCGAAUAUCAUGACUGAGUCCCUUAAUGAAUCUACAAACUCUCUCUCUCUCUCUCUAACUGCAGCGACCAAGGCGAGUGCAUGUCUGGUCAAAUCACUAAAUCUGGCAGCAUACUCUAAUACUGACAUAGUGCCCUGAUGCAACUGCUCAAACUCCGUGCGUCAUGAAUCCCGAAGUGACUAAGGUACAAACUUCCUCAAAACAUCUCUGAAACUGAACCCAUGUACGUGAAACUGUAUCGGCCGGCUACUCAACUUAUAUACCCGCCAUAUCUGAUAAGCCGUUCCCUGAAGCUGGAAUGUAGUAAUAGCAACCCCACUCGUCACAAUAGUACCUAUAGUACGGAGAAUACGAUGGCACUCCUCAAUAAACCUCGUGCGCUCCCUGAAGCCCAACCACUAAAUAUAAGAGGGUCGUAUUAUCUUGAACCUUGCAAAUCUAAGAUGUCCUUCCUCGGAUGCUACUGCCCUAGCCACUGGAUGAACUGGGACCGCAAGAUGUGUCGCCAUGACACCUGCAACAUGACUAACAUGAGAUUGCUACUCUGGAGGUGCUCUAGAUGUGGCACGUACUCCUCGUCGGCCUCUACCUCUGCCUCUGGCGACACCUGCUUCGAGAGCAGUGUCAUCGAUAACCACAGCUCGUGUCCUCACCGUCGGUGAGAGAAUGGAAGGAUAAAAGUUCAAACUUCAAUAUCAAUAAGCUCGCACGAUAGAAAUGAAAGAAGUGAUAUUGUCCUAAUAGUUCCGUAACCUCUCGAAGAUAAGUACAGACGUCUCCGUACCGAUCCGCAAGACUCUACUAAACUCUCUUAUAACUCGUAGCACCUAUGAACCUAGAGCUCUGAUACCAACCUGUCAUGACCCAAUUUUCCCUCCGUUGGGUUUCAUGAUGGCACCUAGUCUUAAGGACUAGGUAAGCCUACUAAAAUGUGGAAUAACCAUAAUAACUAAUAACAACUCGAAUUCUCCUGAGAUGAAUCAUUUAUACAAAGAACAAUUUCCCAAAACCCGGCAGUACAAGUCAUAAGCUCUACAGAGUUUUGCUAUAAUUUCUAAAGAAAAUGUAUGGAAAUAAGUACAACAAUGUGAAAAUAAAAUAGGAAGGUGAUUCCGAAGCCUGUGAACGCAACAACAGGACUACCUUGAGUCUCCUCGGCAAGAAUCCACACCGCUACUAACGAACAAUACCUGGAUCUGCAUAAAACAAAUGUGCAGAAGUGUAGUAUGAGCACACCACGAUGGUGCCCAGUAGUAUCAAGACUAACCUCGGUGGGGUAGUGGCAAGAAAUAGUCCAGACACCUACUGGUCUAAUAAGCAGAAAAAGUAUAAGUAUAAAAAAGAACCAAACAUGAUAUCUACAUAAAGACUAAGCGAUAUUUCUAAAAAUACAGGAAAAUACAAUAAGUAAAGGAAAACAACAAGUAUAGUGGAAAAACCAUAACAAAACUCGUAUAAGUGAACAAAGAAAAUACAACCCAACUCGGAUCACAAUUACAGUAUAGGCAAAUCAUAACUCUGCAACUACAACAACCCUCACCUUGAGUCUUUACCAGCAAGUAUCAAUCAAAUAAUCAAACUCUUUUUAAGUGAUAAAAAUUUGUUUGAAUUAUACUUCCUACAAUUAAGUGUCCUUUUCAAAAAGGGUUUUCUUUCAAAAUAAUGCUUCAAUUAUAAUCUUUACUAAAAAGAAAAUCCUCCAAAUAUAAAUCACCAUGUGACACCUCAUCUCAUAAUCAUGCAAUACAGAUCUCAAUACCUGAACCCUAACACUUGGCAUCCUGUGCCCUCAUGACCCCUCAUUAUCAUACUGAUAACUCACGUGCCCAAAGAGUCAUUCUCACAUGGAAGGAAAUAAACAAGGGGUGCGUCUAUACUCAAAAAUCCCAAAGAGCCUCCUACUCGACAAGGGUGAUUAACCACGUGUAUGCCUGUGCAAGUGUCCUAACAUAAUUCGCACCAACUAGUAAGUAUAAAGAAUGGAACGGACAACACCCGUAAUGUUUGCACACGGAUAGAACCAAUGAAAACAUCAGCUCAGAACACAAUGAUUUUAAUAGGGGAUCUCUCAAGAUAUCGUCCCGUAGUCCCAAACGUAAAUUUGUGUGCUAGGGAUCUCUUGGUAUCCCAAGGACCUCUUGGUAUCCAUAAUAUGUGCACUAGGGAUCUCUUGGUAUCCCGAGGAUCUCCUAGUAUCCUCAGUAUAUGUACUAGGGAUCUCUUGGUAUCCCAAGGAUCUCCUGGUAUCCUCAAUAUAUGUACUAGGGAUCUCUUGGUAUCCUGAGAGUCUCUUGUCAUCCUCAAUAUAUGUACUAGGGAUCUCUUGGUAUCUCGAGGAUCUCCUAGUAUCCUCAAUCUAUGUGCUGGGGAUCUCUUGGUAUCCCAAGGAUCUCUUGGUAUCCUCAAUCUAUGUGAUGGGGAUCACUUGGUAUCCCGAGGAUCUCUUGGUAUCCUCAAUAUAUAUGCUGGGGAUCUCUUAGUAUCCCGCACUUCAUCCCAAAUCAAUAUAUAUAUGUACAUGUGCACGGCAUCACCCUUCGUGCCUUAUCACUAUUCCUUACCUAAAUAGUGAAAACAACAACAUCCCGGCAAGGGAGUCAACAAUAGAAAACAAUAACAUCCCGAUAAUGGAGUCAACAACAGAAAAAAUAACGUCCCGGCAAGGGAACAACAAUAGAAACUAUAACGUUCCGGCAAGGGAGUCAGCAACAGAAACAAUAACGUCACAACAAGGGAGUCAACAAUAGAAACAAUAAUCUCGGCAAGGGAAUCAACAAUACAUAAUAAGGAUCACGAAAAAACCAAGAAACACGAUAAACUUAACAAAAUAACAAGACAUAAUAAACACGUGAUAGCUACACCGGUAACCACAACAAUUGGACAUGGAACAUAUUUGCACGAAGUAAUAGAGGAACUUACAAUCAAGGAGUAUCAAAACAAUAAGGAAGGCAAUUACUUCAAUUAAGGCAAUUAAGGGUCAACGUAACAUGUAGAAUUAGAUGAAAGUUGAUAAUAUCAUAUGGAGCAUAUAGGGGCAAUUUAAGCAAUUAGGAAAACCAAUUAUAACGGACUACUUUCCACAUAAUGAACAUAAGGUCCUAAGAAUCCUAGAGCAAAUUCCCACAAAUAACUCUGAGCACACACUCGCCACCUCGCAUGCACGGACUACAUUUAGCAUAGAAGACUCAAAUCCAAAGGGGAAGUCCCCCACACAAGGUUAGGCAAGAUACUUACCUCAAAGACGACAGACCGAUACUCUAAAAUGCAUUUCUCGGGUGAAAGACCUCCAGACAGCUCAAAUCCAACCCAAAAUAACUUCAAAGCACAAUUAAAACACAUAAGAAACUAUUCUGGAUUAUAAAGUUCCAAUCUUUAACAA